rnacentral:rRNA from 1 species
AUGUCAGAGGAUAUGGCCGCUGAUGGCUACAUGGAGAUAAUAAACAUUGACAUUUCUUCGGUUAUAAUUGAGAUGAUGAGGAAGAAGUACUUUGAUCUUGCACAGCUACAAUACAUGCAAAUGGAUGUUAGGGAUAUGAGUAAAUUCUCUGACGAAUCAUUUGAUUGCGCCAUUGAUAAAGGUACUUUGGACUCUUUGAUGUGUGGUGUGGAGGCUCCUCUCAGCGCAGCUCAGAUGGUCCUGGAAGUGGACAGGCUACUUAAACCAGGGGGAGUCUUUAUGCUGAUAACUUAUGGUGACCCAUCAGCGCGAAUUCCUCACUUGAACCAACCAGUAUGCAGUUGGAAAAUUGUACUGUACAUUCUGCCAAGAUCUGGAUUCAAGGGAAACAUAAGAAGAUCUGUCUUCGACCCUGUUCCACUGACUGAGAGUGGUAGAUUGCCUGAGGGCUUUGUUCUGGAGGAUCCUGACUCUCAUUAUAUUUAUGUUUGCAAAAAGGGCCAAGAAUUAACAGGGAUAGAUUCUCCAACCUUAAGCCACUUGAAGUUGCAAGAUUCCGAGUGA